rnacentral:misc_RNA from 1 species
CAAACACGCUCCCACCCCACUAACCUGGGGCGGGACGCGGCAUGUGGCUCCUCGUCUCGCAAGGGGCGGUGGGCCGAAGAUCCGGCUGCCGGCGUAUCGUGCCGGACACAGCGCGUGGUAGGCGACCUCGCUUUACUAAACGCAGUGCAUCCGGCGCGUAGCCGACGCGAUGGCCUCAAUGGACCCUUUUAACGGAGUGCAUGACGCUUCGA